GAAACGGGUGGUAAUGCCGGAUGCUCCGACUCCUCGCAUGGGGUGUCGGGAAAGAUUUCAUCGGUAUGGGAUGGGGUCGCGUCCUAUCAGGUAGUCGGCGGGGUAACGGCCCACCGAGCCUACGACGGGUAGCCGGCCUGAGAGGGCGACCGGCCACAUUGGGACUGAGAUACGGCCCAGACUCCUACGGGAGGCAGCAGUGGGGAAUAUUGCACAAUGGGCGCAAGCCUGAUGCAGCGACGCCGCGUGCGGGAUGACGGCCUUCGGGUUGUAAACCGCUUUUGAUCGGGAGCAAGCCUUCGGGUGAGUGUACCUUUCGAAUAAGCACCGGCUAACUACGUGCCAGCAGCCGCGGUAAUACGUAGGGUGCAAGCGUUAUCCGGAAUUAUUGGGCGUAAAGGGCUCGUAGGCGGUUCGUCGCGUCCGGUGUGAAAGUCCAUCGCUUAACGGUGGAUCUGCGCCGGGUACGGGCGGGCUGGAGUGCGGUAGGGGAGACUGGAAUUCCCGGUGUAACGGUGGAAUGUGUAGAUAUC
rnacentral:rRNA from 1 species